rnacentral:pre_miRNA from 1 species
AGGAGGAACAACCGCAGUGGCGGGGCCAGCUCUGCAGCCCUGGAGUCAGCCCCCGCAGUAGCUCCGGAUCUCUCUGUCUGCAGGGCCUGGAGGCUCCAGGCGGGG